AACGAACGCUGGCGGCAGGCCUCAUACAUGCAAGUCGAGCGAUUAAGACUCCUUCGGGAGUGUAUAAAGCGGCGAACGGGUGAGUAACAGGUGGAUGAUCUACCUUCCGGUGGGGGAUAACGGCUGGAAACGGCCGCUAAUACCGCAUUCGGUUAAUACGCUGCGGCGUAUUAAAGAAAGGCGCUUCAAAGCGCCGCCGGGAGAUGAGUCCGCCCCCCAUUAGCUAGUUGGUGAGAUAACAGCUCACCAAGGCAACGAUGGGUAGCCGAACUGAGAGGUUGAUCGGCCACACUGGAACUGAGACACGGUCCAGACACCUACGGGUGGCAGCAGUAGGGAAUAUUGGGCAAUGGGCGAAAGCCUGACCCAGCCAUGCCGCGUGAGUGAUGAAGGUCCUAGAGAUUGUAAAACUCUUUUCUGAGGAAGAAUAAAUAGGGAAGGAAAUGUCCUUAUUUUGACGGUACCUCAGGAAUAAGGAACGGCUAACUCCGUGCCAGCAGCCGCGGUAAACACG
rnacentral:rRNA from 1 species